rfam:Pristionchus pacificus strain PS312 contig11162, whole genome shotgun sequence.
UCUUCAUUUCUCACACUCUCGCACCGGUCAGAGAGGCGAGAGAGUGUGCGAAAUGAAGAGA